rnacentral:tRNA from 1 species
GCGGGUAUGGCGCAGUCGGUAGCGCAUUCUGCCACCAGCAGAAAGGUCAGGGGUUCGAAUCCCUUUGCCCGCUACA